rnacentral:piRNA from 1 species
UGAGAGCCUCUUGCCCUCUCUGG